CGCGGGUCCACACUUAUGGCCAGAGUUGGCUGAGCCCAACAGUUCUCCUGAGUAGGACAAGAAAAAUACUGUCCCAGACAUUCUCGCAACUUCUAUGACUGAGGUCCGGGAGAGGACUUGCACAUCCCGCCCAGAACAGACAGGAAUGGAGGGAUAAACGAUGACAUUUAGCUUAAAUGAUGAGCAAAAUCAAAAGAUUGUCUCGGCAUAGGACUUACAGAGAAUUGAAACUCCUGCUUGUUGGGAAGGAUCUUACAGGAGUUGAGAGCUGAAUUCUGGGGAAGGGAUUAGUGGACUCUUGUUUCAACCCAUCAGAUGAACAGCUUAGAAGCCUGGCAGAACCAGCACUUGAGAGAGACGGUGAGAAUGGAAGCCGCAGGCACUAGUUCUGCCAGUCAAAGACUAAGGAUGCUCCAGAUAGCAUCUGAGUCCUAUGGCUGAGAUUUCCCUGCUGCACUCUUGGCCGCUCAACGUUUCUACCAGUGUAUUUUUAGAUUGCUUUGGUUUAUGACAUUCAUUUUCCUGUUACUAUAAAAACUUCAUAAAACUUUACACAUUGACCGUGGAAUUAGAAUUAGGCUUAUGGGCCAUGGCCACUCAUUUGUCUCCAUAGCCGUAUUUCCUUUGGGAUGAGCACUGUGUUUUCACAUUGACAUCUGGAUGGGUCCCAGGCAAGCUAGAAAGAGUAAACCCAGAUGGCCUGUGCUGCCACACUGAUUUCUUGUCUGUGUUGAGAUAAGGACAACAUCUGAGAGAUUCUUGGCACUCUCUGAUGAAGGAGCAACACAACCUCAAGAGACAGCACUGUGCUUCAAGGCACCACUGCCACUUAGACCUUCAAGUAUGAUCUUGCCAGCCUCACAGAAACUGAAUUUGUGUGAAAGCAGACACACAGGAGGGCAGGUCACCUUAGAAAAGAGGCCACAGGAGCCAGGUGGUAUAGGUGUAGAAAGUCUUUCUCACUGAGAACUGGGAGACAGUUUUUUCAGAAA